GACGCUCCGGCGUUCUGCCCUCCGAAGGCAGGGGUUGCUGGUUCGAUCCCAGCCGGGCGCGCCA
rnacentral:tRNA from 1 species